rnacentral:rRNA from 1 species
AUGAACGCUGGCGGCGUGCCUAAUACAUGCCAGUCGAGCGAACAGAUGAGGAGCUUGCUCCUCAGACGUUAGCGGCGGACGGGUGAGUAACACGUGGAUAACCUACCUAUAAGACUGGGAUAACUUCGGGAAACCGGAGCUAAUACCGGAUAAUAUAUUGAACCGCAUGGUUCAAUAGUGAAAGACGGUUUUGCUGUCACUUAUAGAUGGAUCCGCGCCGCAUUAGCUAGUUGGUAAGGUAACGGCUUACCAAGGCAACGAUGCGUAGCCGACCUGAGAGGGUGAUCGGCCACACUGGAACUGAGACACGGUCCAGACUCCUACGGGAGGCAGCAGUAGGGAAUCUUCCGCAAUGGGCGAAAGCCUGACGGAGCAACGCCGCGUGAGUGAUGAAGGUCUUCGGAUCGUAAAACUCUGUUAUUAGGGAAGAACAAAUGUGUAAGUAACUAUGCACGUCUUGACGGUACCUAAUCAGAAAGCCACGGCUAACUACGUG